rnacentral:rRNA from 1 species
AUUGAACGCUGGCGGCAGGCCUAACACAUGCAAGUCGAGCGAGCGGCGGACGGGUGAGUAAUGUAUAGGGACUGCCCGAUAGAGGGGGAUAACAACUGGAAACGGUAGCUAAUACCGCAUACUAUCGGAUAACCCAUAUGGGAUUAGCUAGUAGGUGAGGUAAUGGCUCACGAAGGCAACGAUCCGUAGCUGGUUUGAGAGGACGACCAGCCACACUGGGACGGAGACACGGCCCAGACGCCGACGGAGGCAGCAUUGGGCAAUUUGGGAUAAUGUGGUAAACCCUGAUCCAGCAAUCCCGCUUGUAUGAUGAAGGCCUUCGGGUUGUAAAGUACUUUUGGCAGAGAAGCGGUAUCUGCAGAAUAAGCACCGGCUAACUACGUGCCAGCCGCCGCGGUAAUUC